rnacentral:tRNA from 1 species
AAGGUUUUAAGUUAAUUUAAACUAAUAAUCUUCAAAAUUAUAUAUAAAGAAUAUUCUUUAAACCUUA